AUUGAACGCUGGCGGCAUGCCUUACACAUGCAAGUCGAACGGUAACAGGUCUUCGGAUGCUGACGGGUGGCGAACGGGUGAGUAAUACAUCGGAACGUGCCCGAUCGUGGGGGAUAACGAGGCGAAAGCUUUGCUAAUACCGCAUACGAUCUACGGAUGAAAGCGGGGGAUCUUCGGACCUCGCGCGGACGGAGCGGCCGAUGGCAGAUUAGGUAGUUGGUGGGAUAAAAGCUUACCAAGCCGACGAUCUGUAGCUGGUCUGAGAGGAUGAUCAGCCACACUGGGACUGAGACACGGCCCAGACUCCUACGGGAGGCAGCAGUGGGGAAUUUUGGACAAUGGGCGAAAGCCUGAUCCAGCCAUGCCGCGUGCAGGAUGAAGGCCUUCGGGUUGUAAACUGCUUUUGUACGGAACGAAAAGCCUCUUUCUAAUAAAGAGGGGUCAUGACGGUACCGUAAGAAUAAGCACCGGCUAACUACGU
rnacentral:rRNA from 1 species